GAAUGAUCGACAGAUAGCGAGAGAGAAAAAGAGAGAGCGUCAGACCGAGAGUGUUAGAACGAUCUCGGGAUAGAGAGACAGAGAGCGCUUCUAAAUGAGAGAGAAAUUUGAUCCAUCAUUGUUGCAGGCAGAAAGAGAGAGCUACAGACUAAAUCAUUUCAUGAGCUGGUGCAAUGACUUGCUAUGAGAUUUUGGCAACUGGAAAGCCUUCCAUUCUGAUACAGUCACCCGAUGUUGCUGAAGGACAUCAAUUUAAAAAUGCUUCUUUGUUGGCAGGGAGUGCCAAAAUGGAAGAGAGGGUGAAGGAGGGAACUGAAAACAUCUUCCCUUGGUUUUAAGCAUUCAAAUCUUUCAAAGGGACGAGCACAUUGAAAUUGCCAAAGCUAAGAAGAAGCUGAGGAAGAGCUUGAUACUCAGGCAUGUUUUCUUACCAGGCUUUGUUAUCUCCAGAUCUAUCUGUUAAUCAUUCUGCUCUGAUUACUUGCCUUAUAAAACUCUCUAAUUUGACACUGUUGAAACAGAUCAAAGGCUUGCAGUAUGUUAUCCAGCAUAAGAGCAUUCUGUUUCGAAAAUCCUUAAACAGAUCAAACAACUUAUAAACACACGUGGAGAAGUCAUUGUAAAUGCCGCUGUACAAGGCAAGAUUCAGGAAUCAGUCGUUCAUAUAGACAAAGAAACCCUUAAUUACUCUCAUCUUUUUGUUGUACUUUGUUUUUUUUUUUUUUUCCAAAAGUUUUUAAGCUAACAGAUCAGUUUUUGGAUUAUAUUAUUUUGAUAAUAUAAUGCUUUGUUCAUUCUUGAACUAGAUUCAUACAAUGUAAACUAAAUUCUGAAAAAUUCGUUUAGCGCAUAUUUUUUGUUUCAUCUAAACACAUCUUGGCUGGUUUUCUGAACCAAAAACUUAAAACUGAACAUAAAAAUAUCAAAAUACAAAAUCUACCCCGCGGCAUCGCGCGGGUUCUCUUGCUAGUGUAUUCCAACGACGAAGGAUGAUCCUAAUCUUCGCCUGGAUAUUAAACAGGACUUCUCUAUUCAUAUAGAGUUCAGAGAUGGUAGGAUAUGUGAUACUAUUCUCAUCCUCUUCUUGCUUGUCACUUUUACUAGAACCAUCUUCCUUUCUCCAAAAAGCAAGAGGUCCUAUCAGUUUCUUGACAAAUCUCUUUGUCGCACCUUUCUUUUUCACAGGAGUUCCUUCACGGAUUUUCAAAUUGCAUUCU